UUAAUAGCCACCAUUAUUUAAAACAAUAUAUUUCUAUUAAUUAAGAGCCACCAUUAUUUAAAACAAAAUAUUUCUAUUAAUUAAGAGCCACCAUUAUUUAAAAACAAUAUAUUUCUAUUGAUGGAAUCAAGAUAUUAUUUAUCCAUCAAAUAUAAAAAAAUAACACUCUCUAAGCGUUCUCUCUCUCUCUCAACAUUUCAAGUCAUCCUCUUCAUCGACCUUCGCCGGAGAGGGGCGGCGACCACUAGCGGUGCCACCGUCAAGUAUAAAAGCUUUAGAUAUGAACCCUAACCCUCUUCGUAUCCCCUCUACGAAUCUAAAACCCUUUUCACCAAUCGAAAAAACAAUUAACGGGAUCGGUCUUUUCAGAAAACCAAUAUUCUCAUCACGUUUUAAAUCACACCCUAAACCAACCAAAAAUUAAGAGUUAUCCACGAUUCAAGAAGAAACAAGCAUGAACAAAUCAAAAGGUGUUCCAAUCAUAUUUAGUCAUAGGUCUCAGAAUCAACGGCGUGCGACAAAGUAAAGUUGCAGAUCGAGUUACAUAUAAUGAAGUUUAAAGCGAGAGAGAAAAAACUACCAAUAUGUUCAGGUGAAAGUUUGUUUCCUUGCCCUUUGUGUCUCUUUUUUCGUAUUCAGUUAGAUUCUGAUCUCCUUCUCUGUUUCCUUGUCGUUGCUGCUUGUAUGUUGUUGAGGGGUGGUGGCUCUUUAGCUCAAGCUUGGGAACGAGAUUGGGAUUGAGGAAGAUGAGCAACAAGAAGCUCUUCUAGGGUUUGAGCAGUAUGUGAGAUUGAGAUUUAAGGUAGCGAUUUGGGAUUCUGCUUCGAUUUGGGACGGAUCUGACGAGAGAUUUGAAGAAUUACGAAACGGCUUUUAUGAUGGUGUGGGGUUCGAUUUUGAGUAGCAUCCUGAAUUAAAUGUUCAGAGUUUCUUAAGAGCUUUUGGAAAGUGCUUUUAAAAUAAGCUGCUUUUGUUCUCUGCAUAUUACAACUUUGGAAGUGACUUGAUGAAGGUGGCUUGUGAGAAAUGCCAAACGUGGGGGCGCCAGCUUUUGGUCACCAACAACACCUUUUUUUAUUUAAUUAGAAAAUGUAAUUACUUAAGGUUUUCUUUUAAGACAAAUGUGUAUAUUUGGAUUUAUUUGUAACUUAUUGAAUUACAAGUCUAAUAGCAAUUGUAACUUGUUGGAUUUGGGAAAGAAUUGAAUUAUUAAAGUGUUUUUUUCUAUUA